AGAGGAGCUUGCUCUUCUUGGAUGAGUUGCGAACGGGUGAGUAACGCGUAGGUAACCUGCCUUGUAGCGGGGGAUAACUAUUGGAAACGAUAGCUAAUACCGCAUAACAAUGGAUGACACAUGUCAUUUAUUUGAAAGGGGCAAUUGUUCCACUACAAGAUGGACCUGCGUUGUAUUAGCUAGUAGGUGAGGUAAUGGCUCACCUAGGCGACGAUACAUAGCCGACCUGAGAGGGUGAUCGGCCACACUGGGACUGAGACACGGCCCAGACUCCUACGGGAGGCAGCAGUAGGGAAUCUUCGGCAAUGGGGGCAACCCUGACCGAGCAACGCCGCGUGAGUGAAGAAGGUUUUCGGAUCGUAAAGCUCUGUUGUAAGUCAAGAACGGGUGUGAGAGUGGAAAGUUCACACUGUGACGGUAGCUUACCAGAAAGGGACGGCUAACUACGUGCCAGCAGCCGCGGUAAUACGUAGGUCCCGAGCGUUGUCCGGAUUUAUUGGGCGUAAAGCGAGCGCAGGCGGUUUGAUAAGUCUGAAGUUAAAGGCUGUGGCUCAACCAUAGUUCGCUUUGGAAACUGUCAAACUUGAGUGCAGAAGGGGAGAGUGGAAUUCCAUGUGUAGCGGUGAAAUGCGUAGAUAUAUGGAGGAACACCGGUGGCGAAAGCGGCUCUCUGGUCUGUAACUGACGCUGAGGCUCGAAAGCGUGGGGAGCGAACAGGAUUAGAUACCCUGGUAGUCCACGCCGUAAACGAUGAGUGCUAGGUGUUGGAUCCUUUCCGGGAUUCAGUGCCGCAGCUAACGCAUUAAGCACUCCGCCUGGGGAGUACGACCGCAAGGUUGAAACUCAAAGGAAUUGACGGGGGCCCGCACAAGCGGUGGAGCAUGUGGUUUAAUUCGAAGCAACGCGAAGAACCUUACCAGGUCUUGACAUCCCGAUGCUAUUUCUAGAGAUAGAAAGUUACUUCGGUACAUCGGUGACAGGUGGUGCAUGGUUGUCGUCAGCUCGUGUCGUGAGAUGUUGGGUUAAGUCCCGCAACGAGCGCAACCCCUAUUGUUAGUUGCCAUCAUUCAGUUGGGCACUCUAGCGAGACUGCCGGUAAUAAACCGGAGGAAGGUGGGGAUGACGUCAAAUCAUCAUGCCCCUUAUGACCUGGGCUACACACGUGCUACAAUGGUUGGUACAACGAGUUGCGAGUCGGUGACGGCGAGCUAAUCUCUUAAAGCCAAUCUCAGUUCGGAUUGUAGGCUGCAACUCGCCUACAUGAAGUCGGAAUCGCUAGUAAUCGCGGAUCAGCACGCCGCGGUGAAUACGUUCCCGGGCCUUGUACACACCGCCCGUCACACCACGAGAGUUUGUAACACCCGAAGUCGGUGA
rnacentral:rRNA from 1 species